ensembl:lncRNA
UUAACGACAAUGCAGCAUGCACUUAACUCUUCCCUACUCUGCUUUUGGACAGCCCUGUGAGCUGAGCUGCGCUUUCUUCAUCACCCGGCCAAGAACCAGUCCAUGUGUCUCCAGCCAGGAAGGCUUCCCAGAUAUCAUUACAAGAAGAAGAAGAGGAGGCUCACAGAGGUCUGGAGAAGCUGCACUGCCAGUCUGAAGAUGGAGGAUGGAGUCAGAGCUAAAGAAUGGAGGAAGCAUAACUCCAUGACAGGAUUUUAUCUGUCCUUUUUCCUCCUACAUCCUGGAUGUCUAGGGCACUGUCUAGCACAGAGUGUACCUCUGACUCAAUCCUU